UUUGUUCAGGCUGCUCUUGAACUCCUGGCCUCAAGUGAUCCGCUUUGCUCGGGUUCCCAAAGUGCUGGUUACAGGCGUGAGCCACUGCGCCAGGCCCUCUCCCUGCAUCCUUACGUGCCUGCAAUGCCAAGAGGGAGCUCUUGGCCCCCGGGUUAGGAUCAGGGCCCCAGAGGCCCAGGGUCAAGGCUACGGGCCGCAUCCCAAGGACGUGCAUCCCUCCAAGAGGCUGCGUCCAACAGGCAUAGAAGAGGCUCUGCUGGAGCCUGCUCGGAGUCUGGCUGGGGAAAGCCAAUGGAAGUGCUUCUUGAAGAAAGAGGGGAAUCCAGCCUAUCUCAGGGGUUCUGUCCUGGCCUGCAGCCCUGGAUCGUCAGGACUGGGCCGAGGUGGGGAGCAGACUUCACCCUUCUUGGCUGGGGCUGAGGGUGAGGGUCCUGCUUGAAGGGCCUAGCCCUGGGUUCCCAACCACCCACUCCACUCUGUAGCGCCUGGCCCCGCCCAGCCCCUCAAGGCCUGGCAGUCGCCCUCAACAAAGAUGGCGGGCAUGGCCUCAGGCGCGUCGCGGCGCGUCACGUCGCGCGUCACGUCGCGCGAGAUGCAGGGCUCCUCCCGCGCUGCUCUUAGACCCGUAGACGGCGGCCCAGGGAGGAGUAGAAAGUGUGGUCUGUGGGGCUGCCUGACACCUGGUAGGCGCUCGGGCCGCUCUUGUGGGGCUGCGCCCUGGCGCUGCAGGGCUGAAUGUUAUACCCCCGAGAGAGGCCGUUGCGGAGCGCAAGGAGCUGGAGGCCUCUGGAGCUUCGGCGCCGACUUCUUCGACAUCAGUCGGGCCCCACCCUGGACAUGCCGGUUCCUUCCAGCUUCAACGACAUUGGCCAGGACUGGCGGCUGCGGCAUUUUGUCAGCCAGGUGUAGUAUGAACAGGAGGUGACCCUGCCGGAGCAAUGAACCCAGGACCUGCGCACAAGAGUGGUGCUGAGGCUUGGCGGUGCCCACUCCUAUGCCAUCGUGGGUCUUCUUCUGUGGAGCAGGCUAGAGUGCAGUGGCGUGAUCUCGGCUCACUGCAGCCUCCAUGUCCCGGGUUCAAGAGAGUCUCGUGCCUCAGCUUCCGAGUAUCUGGUGAUACAGACGUGCCACCAUGACCGACUAAUUUUUGUAUUUGUAAUAGAGACGGGGUUUUGCCAUGUUGGCCACGCUGAUCUUCAACCCCCGACCUCAAGUGAUCUACCCUCUUUCGGCCUCCCAAAGUGCUGAGAUGAAAGGAUGGUGAUCGCUCACACCAAAGCCUUGGACCCUUCCCGGCCUGUGACCUUUGUGACCAACUCCAACUAUGUAGCAGACAAGAGGGUGAACCUGGGGGUCCCCACCCCAUUUUUCCCCACCUUUGCCUGGCCUUGUCCUGAAGUCUGCUCAUGGGAACAGCUGGAGAGAACCAUGAGCUGCUAGUGUGGGAUUUUUUAUUUUGUUUUUUUACUUGAAAAAAUAGAGACAGGGUCUUGCCAUGUUGCCCAGGCUGAUCUCGAACUCCUGGGCUCAAGCGAUCCUCCUGCCUCAACCUCCCAAAGGGCUGGGGUUACAGGUGUGGGCCACCGCACUCAGCUGCAGCCAGUCUGUUUUCAAAGAUGGUCUUUGGGUUAAUGAGAAUUCUCUCCCUGCUUACUCGCCAGGCAGUGUGACUUUCUGAAUCCAGGGAGGCUGCACAUAGGGAGAUGGGAUUUGUUUGCUCAGUUUGGACUCAGCGUUUUUUGCACUUUGAUUUAAUAGACUCAUAGAAUGUCAAAGGUUUAAGGGGGCUUAGAGUUCAUCUGGCCCACACCUGGCUGAUCAGAAUCUCUAGGGGAAGUUUUUUUGAAAUGGCAGAUCUCUGCAUUCUGAGAUCCUGAUUCAGUAAGUCCUGAGUUGGAACCUGAGUUUUCUUUUUCUUCUGUAGAGGCAAGGUCUUACUCUGUUGCCCUAGCUGGAGUGCAGUGGUGCGAUCACAGCUCAUUGCAGCCUUGAGGACUGUGGGCUCAGGAGAGAGAAGGAAGUCCUGUUUAUUGUUGCUUCCAAGAUGCAGUCUUGCUCUGUCACCCAGGCUGUAGUCCAGUGGUGUGCUCUCAGGGCUUCUCACCAAGGCCGAGAUGGACCGGAUACUACAUGGCCUAGACAAGGUGGCUGAGGAGUGGGCCCAGGGCACCUUCAAACUCAACUCCAAUAAUGAGGACAUCCACACAGCCAAUGAGCACCGCCUGAAGGUACGACCCAUGGAGCCCCACCGCUUUCCUGGCCUCCCCUCUCCACCUUGCCCGGGGCAUCAUUCUGUUUACUUCGUCAUUGGCAGACAGCAGGUUCACUGAGAGAACAUAGGACAGGCCCUCAACCCUGACAUACUGGCCACUGACCUCGCCUACUACCUGGUCUGCAAAGAGAAAGCACUGGACACGGCGGCUAACGCCUGUAAUCCCAGCACUUUGGGAGGCCGAGUCGAGUGGAUUACCUGAGGGAGUAGGUGCGACUUCUACAAUUGGUUUGGUGGAAAUCAAAUCCAAGUACAACUACAGCCGAUGGCAAGGGGACCAGACCUUCUGCGAUGCUGUAUCCUCUCAUUUUACUCCAGACCUUUUGCCUGAGCAAAGCAUAAAACAUUUAUUCCCAAAAGUGAUACUGAGAAGAUAUGAAAGCUAUGGCACUGAAAAUUUAAACUUAAGAAAAGACUGGACAAGUGUGGGUGAGUGUAAGGGACAGAAAAAAAGUUGUAAUGGACUUAACCAAUAUUUAUCAACUACUCUUAGCAAAAUCUUCCAAUGCGAUGAAUGUAGCAAAGCUUUUAACUGGUGUUCAAUCCUUAAGAGAAUUUUCAUACAGGAGAGAAACCAUACAAAUGUGAGGAAUGUGGCAAAGCCGUUAACUGGUUCUCAAACCUUACUCAAAAUAAGAUAAUUCAUACUGUAGGGAAACCCUACAAAUGUGAAGAAUAUGGCAAAGCCUUUAAUCAGUGCUCACACCUUAUUGGACAUAAAAGAAUUCAUACUGGAGAGAAACCUUACACAUGUGAAGAAUGUGGCAAAGCCUUCACCCAGGGCUUACAUCUCACUGGACACAAGGCAACUCAUACUGAAGGAAACCCUACGCAUGUGAAGAAUACGGCAGAACUUUUAGCUGGUUCUCAUACUUUUCUCAAUGUAAGGGAAUUCAUACUGAAGAGAAACACUACAAUUGUGAAGAAUGUGGAAAAGCUUUUAUGCAUGGCUCAAUCCUGACUAAAAACAAGAGGAUUCAUACUGUAGAGAAAUGCUGCAAUGGUGAAGAAUGUGGCAAACCUUUAACCAGAGCUCACAUCUUAUUGGACAUAAGAGAAUUCAUACUGGUAGAAAACCCUACAAUGGUGAAGAAUGUGGAAAAGCUUUUAUGCAUGGCUCAAUCCUUAUUAAACAUAAAAGAAUUCAUACUGGAGAGAAAUGCUACAGAUAUGAAGAAUGUGGCAAAGCCUUUAACCAGAGCUCACAUCUUAUUGGACACAAGAUAAUUCAUACUGGAGAGCAACGCUAUAAAUGUGAAAAAUGUGGCAAAGCCUUUAACUGGUUCUCAAACCUUACUAAACGUAAGAGAAUUCAUACUGGAGAGAAUCCCUAGAAUUGUAAAGAAUGGGGUAAGUCUUUGACCAAUGCUCAGUCCUUACUGAAUAUAAGAUAAUUCACAUGAUAGAGAACCCCUACAAUUGUAGGGAAUGUAGCAAUAGUUUUAAUUUGUGCUCAACUUUUACUGUAAGUGAAUUCAUUCUGGAGAGAAACCCUACCAAGGUAAAAAAUGUGGCAAAACCAUUAAUGAAUGCUGACAUCACAAUCUACAGCAAUGAUUUCAUCCUAAAUAAAAGUGGUAUUAAUGUAAUGACUGUUGAAGGAUCUUUCACAAAAUAGAACCCUUAAUGUGCAUGAGAUUAUUUUGGUGAAGGAAAGCACUGCAAAUAUAAAGAAAGGCACAAUACCUUACUUAUACCACAGAUUGUAUUGUACACUGGAAAAUUUAUACUGAAGGGAAACUCUCCGGGAGUUCCUCAGACUUUCUGUUGGGGAGAAACCCUAUGGAUGUAAUAAAUGUGGAAAAACUUCUGUUCCAUACAUAUACCUUAGAAAACACUGGAGAGUUUCUACUAGAAUAUAUUAUACAGAUUUAGGAACUGUGAAAAAUACAUUAGAAACCAAGCCUAAGUAAACGUUAUAGAUUGACAGUAGAAAGCACCAAGGCAGUAAGAAUUUGAGACAUUGCUCUAAUCAGUGUUGAUUAUAGAUAAUAAUUUAAAAUAGGUUGCUUACUUGUAUGUAAGUUUAAAUGGAGAAGGAGAUUGAUUUUCUCUUUGGACAGUUAUAAAUUACAUUCAAAUUAUACUUUUGGGGAUUGGAAUAAUUACAAUUACUUUGAAAAGCAAAUAUUUAUGUCAAGUAAACUCACAAAUUUCUUGAUGUUAUAUCAUCGUUUCUAGUGCUCAUGUGAAAGCACGUGGUUAAUGGUUUCUGCAUCAGAGCUCGGAGACAUCUGCACCAUUAAUACACUUUUCCGUGGAACACUGAGGACACUUGAAUAUAAGACGCAUGAAGAAAAUCUAGGCGGAGAGGCCCUUUAUAACAGUGUAGUAAGUGAUUUGUGAGGUAGUUGUUCAGGAUAAUAUGAUUAUGCAUUGUAGGAGAAGAGAAACAUUUUGAAUCUCAGAAGUGAAUUGUUUUACUAGUUACACAUAAAAAUAAUGAAAUACUGUGGAGUUUAAAAUGCUUUUCGACAUAUUAUUUGAACUUAAUUUAUUUUAAUGGAACAAAGUUGUUUUUAAUGUCUUAAGACUAUUUUCCAUUGAAUGAAAUGCAUCUUACCACCAACAUUAACCUAUCCCACCUUAUCCCAUGUUGUAGGUAACUGAUGGUCACAAUAUACUAUUGGAUAGCAUAGUGGAGGGUAGCAUAGUACAAUGACAUCUUUUGUAAUCCCUCCUCUCAGUGGAAUAUUGUUACCAGAGGUAAUAUUUUUAUUUUUUUCUUGUUUUUGUAACUAUAGGAUCAUUAUGAUGGUUACAAUAAAGUUUACAUAAGACUAUAAUAAAAUAUAUUCACAUAUUUCUGAA